CCUACGGGUGGCAGCAGUGAGGAAUAUUGGUCAAUGGCCGGAAGGCUGAACCAGCCACGCCGCGUGAAGGACGAAGGUGCCCAGCAUUGUAAACUUCUUUUGUCAAGGAACAAAGUCAGGCUCGAGAGCCUGACUGAGUGUACUUGAAGAGAAAGCAUCGGCUAACUCCGUGCCAGCAGCCGCGGUAAUACGGAGGAUGCGAGCGUUAUCCGGAUUUAUUGGGUUUAAGGGGUGCGUAGGCGGGCUGUUAAGUCAGCGGGAAAAGCCCGGGGCUAAACCCCGGCGAGCCGUUGAAACUGGCAGUCUUGAGAUGUAGAGAGGUAGGCGGAAUGCGCAGUGUAGCGGUGAAAUGCUUAGAUA
rnacentral:rRNA from 1 species